UACGUAGGUGGCGAGCGUUGUCCGGAUUUACUGGGCGUAAAGAGCGCGCAGGCGGCUGGUCAAGUCCGAUGUGAAAGCUCCCGGCUUAACUGGGAAAUUGCAUCGGAAACUGAUCGGCUGGAAGGUGGGAGAGGGUAGCGGAAUUCCCGGUGUAGUGGUGAAAUGCGUAGAUAUCGGGAGAACACCAGUGGCGAAAGCGGCUACCUGGCCCAUUCUUGACGCUGAGGCGCGAAAGCUAGGGGAGCAAACAGG
rnacentral:rRNA from 1 species